AGUCUUGUAUUCAACUAUGAUUUUAGAUUGCAAAUCUAAAGGUAAAGAAUUUCUUUUAAGGCUU
rnacentral:tRNA from 1 species